CAGAGCCGCCUCGUGCCUCAG
rnacentral:miRNA from 1 species